CACAUUUAAGAUAUCAGCUUAUAAAGUAAUUUUUCCUUAACUGGUGACAUUUAGUUUAUUGUGGCUUUUAAAGCACUAAGGAAGUAAAUUAGUCUAAAGGUGUCUUGUAUGCUUUGCCACUGCACUACAGUAUAUUUAUAUAUGUAGAUAUAAAUCUAUAUAUUUUUUUAUUUGUUGUGUGAGCAGUAGAAGAAUCGGACAUCAUUGACCUGGAGAAGCGGUACUGGUUAUUAAAAGCUCAGUCAAGAACUGGACGCUUUGACUUGGAAACGCUUAUCCCAUUGGUAUCUCCUCCUAUUCACCCAUCUAUAAGCGAGGGUUUAUUCCAUGCUUUUGAUGAGAACAAAGACAAUCACAUAGACUUCAAAGAGAUCUCCUGUGGGUUGUCAGCAUGCUUGAAUUGAACCUGACAAUUGAAUUGAGUGACAGGACCAGGGCACGUCAGGGGGCCAAUCAGACUUCAGUGGCAUCCGCUGGCCUGGAUGUAAUCGAAAAGGUCCAAGCAGAGCAUUGGAGCAUAGGCUCCAUCACCGACACGACCUCG